rnacentral:piRNA from 1 species
UGAACCUCUGCCUCACAAAGACGAACAAAGC